CGCCCUUGAGUUUGAUCAUGGCUCAGGACGAACGCUGGCGGCGUGCCUAACACCUGCAAGUCGUACGGGACUAGGGGCAACUCUAGUUCAGUGGCCAACGGGUGCGUAACACGUGAGAAAUCUAACAUUCGGCGGGGGAUAGCCGGCCCAACGGCCGGGUAAUACCGCGUACGCUCGUCGAGGGGCAUCUCUUGGCGAGGAAAGCAGCGAUGCACCGAAUGGGGAUCUCGCGGCCUAUCAGCUAGUUGGUGAGGUAAUGGCUCACCAAGGCGACGACGGGUAGCUGGUCUGAGAGGAUGGCCAGCCACAUUGGGACUGAUACACGGCCCAGACUCCUACGGGAGGCAGCAGUGGGGAAUCUUGCGCAAUGGGCGAAAGCCUGACGCAGCGACGUUUUUUUUGGGAUGACGGCCUUCGGGUUGUAAACCACUGUCGGGAGGGACGAAGCUCUGACGGUACCUCCAAAGGAAGCACCGGCUAACUCCGUGCCAGCAGCCGCGGUAA
rnacentral:rRNA from 1 species